UACGUAGGGGGCAAGCGUUGUCCGGAUUUAUUGGGCGUAAAGAGCGUGUAGGCGGCCAGGUAGGUCCGCUGUGAAAACUCGAGGCUCAACCUCGAGAUGUCGGCGGAAACCAUCUGGCUAGAGUCCGGAAGAGGAGAGUGGAAUUCCAAGUGUAGCGGUGAAAUGCGUAGAGAUUUGGAGGAACACCAGUGGCGAAGGCGACUUUCUGGUCUGUAACUGACACUGAGGCGCGAAAGCGUGGGGAGCGAACAGG
rnacentral:rRNA from 1 species